rnacentral:rRNA from 1 species
UCCUGGCUCAGAUUGAACGCUGGCGGCAGGCCUAACACAUGCAAGUCGGACGGUAGCACAGAGAGCUUGCUCUUGGGUGACGAGUGGCGGACGGGUGAGUAAUGUCUGGGGAUCUGCCCGAUAGAGGGGGAUAACCACUGGAAACGGUGGCUAAUACCGCAUAACGUCGCAAGACCAAAGAGGGGGACCUUCGGGCCUCUCACUAUCGGAUGAACCCAGAUGGGAUUAGCUAGUAGGCGGGGUAAUGGCCCACCUAGGCGACGAUCCCUAGCUGGUCUGAGAGGAUGACCAGCCACACUGGAACUGAGACACGGUCCAGACUCCUACGGGAGGCAGCAGUGGGGAAUAUUGCACAAUGGGCGCAAGCCUGAUGCAGCCAUGCCGCGUGUAUGAAGAAGGCCUUCGGGUUGUAAAGUACUUUCAGCGGGGAGGAAGGCGAUGGGGUUAAUAACCUUAUCGAUUGACGUUACCCGCAGAAGAAGCACCGGCUAACUCCGUG